AUUGAACGCUGGCGGCAGGCCUAACACAUGCAAGUCGAGCGGAAGAAGGGUGCUUGCUCCUGGAUUCAGCGGCGGACGGGUGAGUAAUGCCUAGGAAUCUGCCUGGUAGUUGGUGAUAACGUCCGGAAGCGGGCGCUAAUACCGCAUACGUCCUGAGGGCGAAAGUGGGGGAGCUUCGGACCUCACGCUCUCAGAUGAGCCUAGGUCGGAUUAGCUAGUUGGUGGGGUAAAGGCCUACCAAGGCGACGAUCCGUAACUGGUCUGAGAGGAUGAUCAGUCACACUGGAACUGAGACACGGUCCAGACUCCUACGGGAGGCAGCAGUGGGGAAUAUUGGACAAUGGGCGCAAGCCUGAUCCAGCCAUGCCGCGUGUGUGAAGAAGGUCUUCGGAUUGUAAAGCACUUUAAGUGGGGAGGAAGGGCAGUAAGUUAAUACCUCGCUGUUUUGACGGUACCAACAGAAUAAGCACCGGCUAACUUCGUG
rnacentral:rRNA from 1 species